UGAGGAAUAUUGGUCAAUGGACGAGAGUCUGAACCAGCCAAGUAGCGUGAAGGAUGACUGCCCUAUGGGUUGUAAACUUCUUUUAUACGGGAAUAAAGUGAGGCACGUGUGCCUUUUUGUAUGUACCGUAUGAAUAAGGAUCGGCUAACUCCGUGCCAGCAGCCGCGGUAAUACGGAGGAUCCGAGCGUUAUCCGGAUUUAUUGGGUUUAAAGGGAGCGUAGGCGGACGCUUAAGUCAGUUGUGAAAGUUUGCGGCUCAACCGUAAAAUUGCAGUUGAUACUGGGUGUCUUGAGUACAGUAGAGGCAGGCGGAAUUCGUGGUGUAGCGGUGAAAUGCUUAGAUAUCACGAAGAACUCCGAUUGCGAAGGCAGCCUGCUGGACUGUAACUGACGCUGAUGCUCGAAAGUGUGGGUAUCAAACAGGAUUAGAUACCCUGGUAGUCCACACAGUAAACGAUGAAUACUCGCUGUUUGCGAUAUACAGUAAGCGGCCAAGCGAAAGCGUUAAGUAUUCCACCUGGGGAGUACGCCGGCAACGGUGAAACUCAAAGGAAUUGACGGGGGCCCGCACAAGCGGAGGAACAUGUGGUUUAAUUCGAUGAUACGCGAGGAACCUUACCCGGGCUUAAAUUGCAGCGGAAUGUAGUGGAAACAUUACAGCCUUCGGGCCGCUGUGAAGGUGCUGCAUGGUUGUCGUCAGCUCGUGCCGUGAGGUGUCGGCUUAAGUGCCAUAACGAGCGCAACCCUUAUCUAUAGUUACUAUCAGGUCAUGCUGAGGACUCUAUGGAGACUGCCGUCGUAAGAUGUGAGGAAGGUGGGGAUGACGUCAAAUCAGCACGGCCCUUACGUCCGGGGCUACACACGUGUUACAAUGGGGGGUACAGAAGGCAGCUACCUGGCGACAGGAUGCUAAUCCCAAAAACCUCUCUCAGUUCGGAUCGAAGUCUGCAACCCGACUUCGUGAAGCUGGAUUCGCUAGUAAUCGCGCAUCAGCCAUGGCGCGGUGAAUACGUUCCC
rnacentral:rRNA from 1 species